rnacentral:rRNA from 1 species
UACGUAGGGUGCGAGCGUUGUCCGGAAUUACUGGGCGUAAAGAGCUCGUAGGUGGUUUGUCGCGUUGUUCGUGAAAACUCACAGCUCAACUGUGGGCGUGCGGGCGAUACGGGCAGACUGGAGUACUGCAGGGGAGACUGGAAUUCCUGGUGUAGCGGUGAAAUGCGCAGAUAUCAGGAGGAACACCGGUGGCGAGGGCGGGUCUCUGGGCAGUAACUGACGCUGAGGAGCGAAAGCGUGGGGAGCGAACAGG